rnacentral:rRNA from 1 species
GACGAACGCUGGCGGCGUGCUUAACACAUGCAAGUCGAACGGAAAGGCCCUGCUUUUGUGGGGUGCUCGAGUGGCGAACGGGUGAGUAACACGUGAGUAACCUGCCCUUGACUUUGGGAUAACUUCAGGAAACUGGGGCUAAUACCGGAUAGGAGCUCCUGCUGCAUGGUGGGGGUUGGAAAGUUUCGGCGGUUGGGGAUGGACUCGCGGCUUAUCAGCUUGUUGGUGGGGUAGUGGCUUACCAAGGCUUUAACGGGUAGCCGGCCUGAGAGGGUGACCGGCCACAUUGGGACUGAGAUACGGCCCAGACUCCUAGGGGAGGCAGCAGUGGGGAAUAUUGCACAAUGGGCGGAAGCCUGAUGCAGCAACGCCGCGUGCGGGAUGACGGCCUUCGGGUUGUAAACCGCUUUCGCCUGUGACGAAGCGUGAGUGACGGUAAUGGGUAAAGAAGCACCGGCUAACUACGUG